GCCGGCGUGGCUCAGAUGGUAGAGCGGCUGAUUCGUAAUCAGCAGGUCAGCGGUUCAAUUCCGCUCGCCGGCUCCA
rnacentral:tRNA from 1 species